UAAGCAUAUCAAUAAGCGGAGGAAAAGAAACUAACAAGGAUUCCCCUAGUAACUGCGAGUGAAGCGGGAAAAGCUCAAAUUUAAAAUCUGGUGCUUGCACCCGAGUUGUAAUCUGGAGAAGCAUUUUCCGUGUCAGACCGUGUACAAGUCUCUUGGAAUAGAGCGUCAUAGAGGGUGAGAAUCCCGUCCAUGACACGGACUACUGAUGCUUUGUGAUAUGCUCUCGAAGAGUCGAGUUGUUUGGGAAUGCAGCUCAAAAUGGGUGGUAAAUUCCAUCUAAAGCUAAAUAUUGGCGAGAGACCGAUAGCGAACAAGUACCGUGAGGGAAAGAUGAAAAGCACUUUGGAAAGAGAGUUAAACAGUACGUGAAAUUGUUGAAAGGGAAACGCUUGAAGUCAGUCGCGUUUGCUUGGACUCAGCCUUGCUAUUUUGCUUGGUGUACUUCCUUGUUAACGGGUCAACAUCAAUUUUGGUUGGUGGAUAAAGGUUGAGGGAAUGUGGCAUCUUCGGGUGUGUUAUAGCCCUCUUCCACAUACACUGGCUGGGAUUGAGGACUGCAGCACGCCUUUAUGGCCGGGGUUCGCCCACGUAACGUGCUUAGGAUGUUGGCAUAAUGGCUUUAAGCGACCCGUCUUGAAACACGGACCAAGGAGUCUAACAUGCUUGCGAGUAUUAGAGUGGAAAACUCUUAUGCGUAAUGAAAGUGAAAGUUGGGACCCUUUGCGGGGGCACCGACGCCCGGCCUUGAAGUUUACUGACGGCGCCGCGGUAGAGCACGUAUGUUGGGACCCGAAAGAUGGUGAACUAUGCCUGAAUAGGGUGAAGCCAGGGGAAACUCUGGUGGAGGCUCGUAGCGAUUCUGACGUGCAAAUCGAUCGUCAAAUUUGGGUAUAGGGGCGAAAGACUAAUCGAACCAUCUAGUAGCUGGUUCCUGCCGAA
rnacentral:rRNA from 1 species